rnacentral:lncRNA from 1 species
AUUAAAUUUUACUAAUUACUUCAUUAUUUCGUUUUUGAUCUAAUAUUGUGUAAACCUACAUCUAAAUGUGCAACCUUCGUAGUGCAAGGGUUAGUCUUACUUUAAAUUAAAAAAAAUGUGAAAUGCAAACCAAUGUGCAUGUACUCAAUUUAUGUUCGUGUUAGUACGAAUAACACGCUUAAAGAAAAAAGCAAACACAGUAAAGAAACAGGUCGUCCGAUGACCUAUAGUUGUUAAUUUCUGUGUCAUUUUGGUCUCUUGUGAGGAAAUUGUCUUAUUGGCAAUCAUACCACAUCUUCUCUUUUUAUAAUUAAUCUUUCAAAUUGAAAACACCACAUUAUUUUCGGAGACAACAAGAGAAAAGGAAAGAAUAAUCGGUUUCAGACAUAUGACAUAUUCAAUUCUACGAGGUUAAGAUUUUUUUUUCAAUCUGAAGCUGGUACAAACGCUAUAGUUGAUACGGUGUAUUUGAUUAUUAAAAUUCAAAUUUCGCCAGGAAUCCUCACGGACAAACCUUAUAAUGCUAAAGGACAAACUUCAAUUCUAAAAGCGUAUUUAUGUCUUGGAUGAAAGGUUGUCAAAUUGACACUCACACCACAUCUUAUAUCUAUGUGUAGGUUCUCUUGAUAAGGCUUUCAAACACCAACUUAAACUACCGGUUAACCGGUUAAUCAGUCGAACGAUUAUCCGAGUAUUCGGUUAGGCAAAAGUGUACGAUUUUAUUGUGUACUUAAAAAUAAAUUUUUAAAAAAAUAUAUCAAUAUUUUUGACACGAGAGAUAGUUAAAGUAAAAGUAUUUUGAAUUUAAUUAAAAAAGUGUAACAGAAUUAAGAAAUAAAUGUAUUAAAGUAGUCAACAAUGUAUA